rnacentral:rRNA from 1 species
UACGGGGGGGGCAAGCGUUGUUCGGAAUUACUGGGCGUAAAGGGCUCGUAGGUGGCCAACUAAGUCGGACGUGAAAUCCCUCGGCUUAACCGGGGAACUGCACCCGAUACUGGAUGGCUUGAGUUCGGGAGAGGGAUGCGGAAUUCCAGGUGUAGCGGUGAAAUGCGUAGAUAUCUGGAGGAACACCGGUGGCGAAGGCGGCAUCCUGGACCGACACUGACGCUGAGGAGCGAAAGCCAGGGGAGCAAACGGG